rnacentral:rRNA from 1 species
UUCGCCCCGAGAAGGGCCCGAGAAACGGCUCUACAUCCAAGAAAGCACCCGCGCGCAAAUUUCCAAUCCGUCUCGGGGAGGUAGGCCAAUAAUACUGAUACAGGGCUCUUCGGGUCUUGUAAUGGAAUGAGUACAAUUAAAUCCCUAACGAGGACAAUGGAGGGCAAGUCUGGUCCAGCAGCCGCGGUAUUCCAGCUCCAAUAGCGUAUAUAAAGUUGUGCAGUAAAAAGCUCGUAGUGAACCUUGGGCCUGGCUGGCCGGUCCGCCUCACCGCGUGCACUGGUUCGGCCGGGCCUUUCCCUCUGGGGAGCCGCAUGCCCUUCUCUGGGGGUGUCGGGGAUCCAGGUCUUUUCCUGGGAAAAAAUUAGAGUGUUCAAACCAGCCCUAUGCUCGAAUACAUUAGCAUGGAAUAAUAGAAUAGGACGUGGGUUUUUAUUUUGUGGGUUUCUAGGUCCGCCGUAAUGAUUAAUAGGGCCAUUCGGGGCCGUCAGUAUUCCUUUGCCAGAGGGGAAAUUCUUGGAUUUAUGGAAGCGUACCUCCUGGGAAACCAUUCCCCAAGGAUGUUUCCAUUAAUCAGGAACGAAAGUUAGGGGAUGGAAGCCGACCAGAUCCCGUCGUAUUUCUACCCAUAACCUAUGCCGCCUAGGGAUCGGGCGAUGUUAUUAUUUGACUCGCUCGGCACCUACGAGAAAUCAAAGUCUUGGGUCUGGGGAGUAUGGCAGCCC